AGUGAACGCUGGCGGUAGGCCUAACACAUGCCAGUCGAACGGCAGCACAGUAAGAGCUUGCUCUUACGGGUGGCGAGUGGCGGACGGGUGAGGAAUACAUCGGAAUCUACUUUUUCGUGGGGGAUAACGUAGGGAAACUUACGCUAAUACCGCAUACGACCUAUGGGUGAAAGCAGGGGAUCUUCGGACCUUGCGCGAUUGAAUGAGCCGAUGUCGGAUUAGCUAGUUGGCGGGGUAAAGGCCCACCAAGGCGACGAUCCGUAGCUGGUCUGAGAGGAUGAUCAGCCACACUGGAACUGAGACACGGUCCAGACUCCUACGGGAGGCAGCAGUGGGGAAUAUUGGACAAUGGGCGCAAGCCUGAUCCAGCCAUACCGCGUGAGUGAAGAAGGCCUUCGGGUUGUAAAGCCCUUUUGUUGGGAAAGAAAAGCAGCAGGUUAAUACCCCGCUGUUCUGACGGUACCCAAAGAAUAAGCACCGGCUAACUUCGUG
rnacentral:rRNA from 1 species